UACAGAGGGGGCAAGCGUUAUUCGGAAUUAUUGGGCGUAAAGGGCGCGUAGGCGGCUUACUAAGUCAGGGGUGAAAUCCUGGAGCUCAACUCCAGAACUGCCUUUGAUACUGGUAAGCUCGAGUCCGGGAGAGGUGAGUGGAACUGCGAGUGUAGAGGUGAAAUUCGUAGAUAUUCGCAAGAACACCAGUGGCGAAGGCGGCUCACUGGCCCGGUACUGACGCUGAGGUGCGAAAGCGUGGGGAGCAAACAGG
rnacentral:rRNA from 1 species